rnacentral:lncRNA from 1 species
UUUUUUUCGAUUUUAUUUAUUUAUUCAUGAGAGAGACAGAGGGAGAAGCAGGCUUCGUGCAGGGAGCCUGACGUGGGACUCAAUCCCUGGACCCCCGGAUCAGGCCCUGGGCCACAGGUGGCGCUAAAUUGCUGAGCCACCCAAGCUGCCCUGUUGGCCUGUUUCUGCUCUAUUAUUUCCCCAUAACCCUUAUCCUCAUAUCAUAUGCAAUUUACUUAUUUACAUUAUUAUUUCUCCCCUCAAUUGAAUGUAAGCCCCAUGAGGCAGGAAUUCCUUAUCAUUUUCACUACUGUAUCCCCAGCAUCUCAAAAGAGUUCAAUAUUUGAUGAACAAAUGAAUCUUUUAAGACUGCAAUCAUUAGUUCCUUUUAUGAAGUCCUCCAAUUAGAACCUUCUGUCAUUAAAUCAGCUCAUAAUCCUGUAUCUUAUUACUUUCUUUUUUCCUUUCUCUGCAUAUUAGAGUUUCUCAAAGAAACAGGACUAGUGGACACCUACUUCCACCCCUCUCCCUUUUAUAUACAUAUGUACCUACACACAGAUCUUAAAGGAAGUGGCUCCCACAAUUAUGAGGGCUGGCAAGCCGAAAAUCUGUAGGGGCAGCUGAGGGGUGACAGUUGAUGUGGUGUCUUGAGUCUGAAAAAACUCAGGCAGAACUUCCAUGUUGCAUCUGGAAGCUCACUCCCUGGGAGCCCCAGCCUCUGGGGUCCUAGCUCCUCAGCCAGGGACUGCUAAUCCAACUUCCAGCCCUGUCCCCUCCUAAAGAGGCCUGAGGGUGGGGCUGAAACUCUAAUCACAGGCUUGACUCCACAGGCAGCCAGCCUCCGUCCUUAGGUGCUUUUGUUCAUUAAAAUAACAAAAGAAGGUUCCUUGCUCCGAGGGUUUUAGGAGCUCUGGUCCCCGAAACAGGAAGGUCAAGUAUGUUUCUUACAAUGAAUCACAGCAUCACAGCCUCCCCUCUUUUCAAAACCCUCUGAUGACUUCAUGUCAUACCAAUUAAAUCCAAAAUCCUAGUUGGGCCCACAGGGCGUGAUUCAAUCUGACCCGGCUAAUCCCUGCAUCCUCCACUGGCUCGCUUUGCUCCAGCAAAGGCCGUGGCCUGACAAGGGUGCUCUAUCCCCAGCCCUUGGCCCUGGCUACUCCCUUGUCUGCAGAACUGGGCCUGCAACCCAUGCUGUGCUUGUCUAUCCUGUUGUGGUUUUCUUCAUCACAUUAACUGCUACCUGAGAUGACAUUAUUUAACAUUUGUCGCCUUAGAUUUUAAUCUGUCUGAAACUGGUUUUACUUGCUUUAUUGCACCCAGAGCAGUUACUGAACACUUCUGCCCUCAGUAACUACUUAUUGACUGAAUUGAUGAGGCAAUGGGCAUUCCUUAACUUUCUAAUAAUGUUGCAUACAAUUGUAAGCUUCUUUAGCAAGGAUCUCAUUCAUCAUAUACAUACCAGAGGCUCAAAAAGUAUUUUAGACUCAAUUUAAAAGGCAAUGUUAGGGACACCUGGGUGGCUCAGCGGUUGAGUGUCUGCCUUUGGUUCAGGGUGUGAUCCAGGGGGUCCUGGGAUCGAGUCCCACGUCGGGCUUCCUGCAUGGAGCCUGCUUUUCCCUCUUCCUGUCUCUCUGUGUCUCUGAUGAAUAAAUAAAACAUUUUUUAAAAAAGGGAAUGCUAGGUUUAUAUACUUUAUAUAACACUUAUUUGUUUAUAUACUUAUAUAUAUAUAUUGUUUUUUCUAGUUUAUAUUUGUCUUUCCUCCUGUGUGUAGGGGGAAGGGGAAUGCAUAGAUGAAUUUUUAUAGGGAAGAAGCAGGAGUCAUUACCAUAUACCCAUUGCAAAUAUAUUUGUAUUUUACUCUGAAAGUGACUCCAACCUGCAAAGUCAGAUACAUCUAUUUUGAGGGGGGGCUAACUUUGAAAAGACACUUGAUUUCGUGGUUAAGACCUGGAUUAGAUUUUAGAUCUUAGUUCUACUUGAGCAUCCGACACCGGCUGUGUAAAGCAGGAAGGCUACAGGGGAGCGGAGCCUCGGAAAUAGCUCAACCCCGACCUUUCCUUUCACCGGGAGGUUGGCCACUGGGACAUUGUGAGACGGACACUCCUGGUUCCUGGGCUUGGUCCCCUUCCCCGUGUUAGUGUUUUCUCCCUACACAUGCAUGUACCUGGGUACCUGCCUCUGGGUACCGCUCUGGAAGAUGGCGAGGCAGUCUCGUCUUUCCAACAAUUGCAAGGGUCCCGCCGGUGGACCUCACAGCCUAAUUGUUUCCGCUUAGGAUAUGAGCUCUCGGUGGAGGCGCGUGUAGGGUGCUAAGGGGCGCCGGGUGGCUCAGCCGGUUGGGCAUCUGGUCGACCCGGGCAUCUGGCCAGGGCCCAGCCCGCUCCCUGCUGGGGGAGCCCGCUCUUCCCUCUCCUCCUGCCCGUCCCCACCGCUCGGGCGCACGCGCGCUCCUCUCUCUGUAAAAGGAAUAAA